rnacentral:rRNA from 1 species
UCCAGACUUUGAUUCUGGCUCAGAAUGAACGUUGGCGGCGUGGAUUAGGCAUGCAAGUCGAGCGGUAAGGUUCCUUCGGGAGCCCUAGAGCGGCGAAAGGGAUAGGACAAUAUGGAUACGUGCCUCUUAGCUCAGGAUAGCGACUGGAAACGGUCGAUAAUACUGAAUGACGUAUUAGUACGAAAGGUGAGAUUCCGCUAGGAGAUCGGUCCAUAGCCUAUUAGCUAGUUGGUAGGGUAACGGCCUACCAAGGCGAAGAUGGGUACGGGGCGUGAGAGCGCGACCCCGAUCACUGGGACUGAGACACUGCCCAGACGCCUACGGGCGGCUGCAGUCGAGAAUCUUCGGCAAUGGACGAAAGUCUGACCGAGCGACGCCGCGUGCAUGAUGAAGGCCUUCGGGUUGUAAAGUACUGUCGAUUGGGCGGAAGUUAGAGGGGGUACUCCCUUUCUUUUGACCUAUCAUUUGAGGAAGGACGGGCUAAGUUCGUGCCAGCAGCCGCGGUAAGACGAACUGUUCGAACGUUAUCCGGAAUCACUGGGCUUAAAGGGCAUGUAGGUUGUAUACUAAGCGGGGUCUAAAAUCCCACGGCUCAACCGUGGAACUGGGCUUCGAACUGGUAAACUAGAGUGAAGUAGAGGUAAGCGGAACUUGGGGUGAAGUAGUGAAAUGCAUAGAUAUUCCAGGGAACACCGGUGGCGAAAGCGGCUUACUUGGCUUCAACUGACACUCAAGUGCGAAAGCUAGGGUAGCGAAAGGGAUUAGAUACCCCUGUAGUCCUAGCCGUAAACGCUGAGCGCUUGUUCGAGGGGGAAUUUUCCUUCUCGAGCGUAGCGAAAGUCUUAAGCGCUCCGCCUGGGGAGUAUGGUCGCAAGGCUGCAACUCAAAUGAAUUGACGGA